CCACAUUGAAUUCCAAAAUUUUGGUACUUCUCAUUUGCAAUUUGUUCUUUGUUAUUAUUCUAAACUCUGAAGUCUAUGAAACUGUGCUUUUUCUCUCCUGUCUGUUUUCGACCGGGUCCAAGUUUCAGUUCGAAUUUUGCACCUAGUUUGAUCCUUAGCACUCACCGAAGUCUAAACUUGCUGAACUGCAUGAAGGGCAAAUUUGAUUGGAUGGCGUCAAUAUCUGGAGUCUGGAAGCAACCACAGUUCACAACACAUCGCUUACUAGAAAGAAUAACCAGGCACCGUAUGUUGACAGCAAGAAUUCUUCUGUUCAACAUACUGCUUCUAUUAGUAGCAUGUGUUCCUUUUCAUGCAGAAUGCGCAUUUUUUGCCCUUUCUGAAAGAGGCAGGUUUAGAUUGAGACGAUUCGUCAAACAAUGCAGAGAAAUUUAGAACUAGCUUGACUGCAAAUGUGCUUCGUGCUCUUUUCCUGGUUUCUUAUCUGAAGAAGAUUAUGCUGUGCAAGCUCCAAUAACUGAAUAUUAUGGAUUCCAUAUAUCCAGGUGAUCACUGAUGAGCAGAGCUUCUUCACAGUUCAGUACUUUAACCAUGCAUGGAAGUAGCUAUGUCUAAAUUGUUUAUUUACUGUUUUGUUUUAUGCCUGUACACUGUUGCGAUACGAGCAUGUAUAUCCAGGUGUCAUGUACCAUCUCUUCCUUCAAAACUCAAUUUGACAAAUAUGCAUGUGCAGUUCUCCAGGGAAAGAAAUUCAAGCAUAAGUAGGUGACUGAUUGAACGCGUGUCGUCCCUGGUUUAUGUUGGCUCAAGUUAUUGGUGAACACUAUGUCAUACUCAUGGAAUACCAGGACAAGGUCAAUUUAUCCAAAAUAAAUCGACAAUGAUAUGAGACGCACCCAUUUUUUUUUAUGGUCCCUGAUUUUCUUCCAUGC
rnacentral:lncRNA from 1 species